GGGUUGUGAGGUUAAGCGACUAAGCGUACACGGUGGAUGCCCUGGCAGUCAGAGGCGAUGAAGGACGUGCUAAUCUGCGAUAAGCGCCGGUAAGGUGAUAUGAACCGUUAUAACCGGCGAUUUCCGAAUGGGGAAACCCAGUGUGUUUCGACACACUAUCAUUACGUGAAUACAUAGCGUAAUGAAGCGAACCGGGGGAACUGAAACAUCUAAGUACCCCGAGGAAAAGAAAUCAACCGAGAUUCCCCCAGUAGCGGCGAGCGAACGGGGAGGAGCCCAGAGCCUGAAUCAGCAUGUGUGUUAGUGGAAGCGUCUGGAAAGGCGCGCGAUACAGGGUGACAGCCCCGUACACAAAAGCGCAUGUGCUGUGAGCUCGAUGAGUAGGGCGGGACACGUGGUAUCCUGUCUGAAUAUGGGGGGACCAUCCUCCAAGGCUAAAUACUCCUGACUGACCGAUAGUGAACCAGUACCGUGAGGGAAAGGCGAAAAGAACCCCGGCGAGGGGAGUGAAAAAGAACCUGAAACCGUGUACGUACAAGCAGUGGGAGCACAGGUUUACCUGUGUGACUGCGUACCUUUUGUAUAAUGGGUCAGCGACUUAUAUUCUGUAGCAAGGUUAACCGAAUAGGGGAGCCG
rnacentral:rRNA from 2 species